CCUACGGGGGGCAGCAGUGGGGGAUAUUGCACAAUGGGGGGAACCCUGAUGCAGCGACGCCGCGUGGGUGAAGGAGCGUUUCGGCGCGUAAAGCCCUAUCGGCAGGGAAGAAGAUGACGGUACCUGACCAAGAAGCCCCGGCUAACUACGUGCCAGCAGCCGCGGUAAUACGGAGGAUGCGAGCGUUAUCCGGAUUUAUUGGGUUUAAAGGGUGCGUAGGCGGUCCGGAAAGUCAGCGGUAAAAGCCCGGGGCUCAACCCCGGCGAGCCGUUGAAACUGUCGGACUAGAGACGGCGAGAAGUACGCGGAAUGCGCGGUGUAGCGGUGAAAUGCAUAGAUAGCGCGCAGAACUCCGAUUGCGAAGGCAGCGUACCGGCGCCGGACUGACGCUGAGGCACGAAAGCGUGGGUAUCGAACAGGAUUAGAUACCCCAGUAGUC
rnacentral:rRNA from 1 species